CGGACGGGUGAGUAAUGUCUGGGAAACUGCCUGAUGGAGGGGAAUAACUACUGGAAACGGUAGCUAAUACCGCAUAAUGUCGCAAGACCAAAGAGGGGGACCUUCGGGCCUCUUGCCAUCGGAUGUGCCCAGAUGGGAUUAGCUAGUAGGUGGGGUAACGGCUCACCUAGGCGACGAUCCCUAGCUGGUCUGAGAGGAUGACCAGCCACACUGGAACUGAGACACGGUCCAG
rnacentral:rRNA from 1 species